UGUUGCUGCGGUAGCUAAUGUGGGUGGGAGUGGUUGGAAAUUGAGAGCAGGCAGGUAUAUAGGCACCUGGGGUCCUCAUGCCGGUAGCAAAACAUUGUAGCUAGCUGUUAAUGGGUCGGAGUGCAGCAGUAUUCCGGGGUGCGGUGUUUAGCGCAAGGUAUGUCCAAACUAUCUGUGUUGUAUGACUAUAAUGGCUAUUUGGGUUCAGUGCACUAAGGCGAUCUCUUUUUCUUACUACUGGGUUAAGGGAUUGCGAGUGACGACCAACAGCGCUAUGGUUUGUGUUUAUGCUCCCGAAACAUGCUGGAAUGUUUGGAUUGAUGAACACAGAGGAGCGUUUUUGUGACCCUGGUGAGAUUGUGCAGCUGCAAAACACUGUCUGCCCAUACGAUUGCUAGCCGGCCGGCAGGUAUGUAAGGAUUAUGAUUAUUAUGUGUGUGCGGUAAAAAGGAAAAUGUGUGUUUAGUAGCUUUAUGUAAAUAGCCUGACUGAUAAUGACUUCAUGGUUGGGCGUGUGUGCGUGUGUUUACUAGCUAUGUGUAGUAGACUACUGCUUAUGAAUUGUAUGCACACAGAGCACUUAACUGUUUUUUAUUUUAUUUUAGAAGCUACAGCCAGUCCAUUGUCGGCUGCUGUUCUCUUUGAAUGUGUAUGAAUGUGCAGGUGCUGCUUGUUAGACAUUUUGUUUGAUACUGUUUUUUUUGUUUCUUUUCUUUUUUUCUUUUCCACUAGCCGGUGGGUUGUAAGAGAAUUGUGUUGGUGAAACAAAGUGUGACCACCGGCUAGUGUUAUUUUUCUUUUUUCUUCUUAGUUUUUGUUGGUGUCUUUCCCUUCCCCAGUAAUAGUCUUGGGGUGGAUCGGGCCCAUAGGAAAGACUAGCGACCAGGUGCUAGCUUAGUUUCCUUCGUGUGGCACCCAUUAUUGGAACCAUUGUGUGUAGUGUAAUGCUGUGAGUGUGCACCUCUUAGAAGUGGCUCAAAGAGCAUGAUUGCUGUGAGUGUGUAAGCGGAGUUUAGGUUUGGCUCUACCGUAAGGGUGUGCUCUAGUUCACGGGUGGUAUUGAAACCUAGGCCUGGGUAAACUUGUCCUCCGGUGGCCCGCCCUCCUAUGGCUUAUCCCUAUGUCAUGUGAUGUAUGUUCAUGUUAUUUAUUCACAACCCUAAAUGACUCAAUUUUAACUUAAAUAAAGAUUGUAUUUUUUUUUGUUAA